CAUGUCUGUAGGGAGGAAAGGAAAGAGAGGGAAUGGAAAAGAACUAAAAAAAGUAGAAAUUUUACCCAUAAAAUAUCCCGCCUCGGAAAAAAGGGUGUGCUGGAUAUCCCCUCGCACCUUCUUUUUUCAAAGUUUUUGGGUUCUGGGGGGAGUAUGGGCGCAAGGCGAAACUAAAGAAUGACGAGCACAMAWAUCUAAUAUUAAAAAC
rnacentral:rRNA from 1 species